rnacentral:misc_RNA from 1 species
CAAUGAAGUUGCUCGAAAGCUUGCUUCUUAUACUGCACCGAAGUCGCUCCUCAAAGAGAUGCCUCGCGGUGCUGAUGAGAUGGAUGAUGGUGGGUUCAAGAAGCCGUCCAAGAUUAUUGAUCGCGAGGAUGAAUAUAGGAGGAGAAGGUUGAAUAGAGUGAUUUCACCAGAUAGGCAUGAUGCAUUUGCUGCUGGGGAGAAGACGCCGGAUCCUUCAGUGAGGACGUAUGCAGAUGUUAUGAGGGAGGAAGCGUUGAAGAGGGAAAAAGAGGAGACUCUUAAGGCAAUUGCUAAAAAGAAGAAGGAGGAAGAAGAGGCAGCAAAAGAGGGAAGGGAGACCACUGCUGCAGCAACUAAGGAGGCUGCACCCAAGAGGAGGAAUAGGUGGGACCAGUCACAGGAUGACGGGGCUGUGGCUAAAAAGGCCAAGACUGAUUCGGAUUGGGAUUUGCCAGAUGCCACGCCUGGGAUUGGAAGAUGGGAUGCUACCCCUACUCCUGGGAGACUAGGGGAUGCAACUCCUUCUGUGGGGAGGAGGAAUAGAUGGGAUGAAACGCCUACUCCUGGCAGGCUGGCAGAUUCUGAUGCUACUCCUGCUGGUGGAGUAACACCUGGCGCUACCCCAGCUGGAGUCACUUGGGAUGCAACUCCUAAAGGGCUGGUCACCCCGACCCCAAAAAGGCAGAGGUCACGUUGGGA